GAUGAACGCUGGCGGCGUGCCUAAUACAUGCAAGUCGAGCGAACAGACGAGGAGCUUGCUCCUCUGAUGUUAGCGGCGGACGGGUGAGUAACACGUGGAUAACCUACCUAUAAGACUGGGAUAACUUCGGGAAACCGGAGCUAAUACCGGAUAACAUGUUGAACCGCAUGGUUCAACAGUGAAAGACGGUCUUGCUGUCACUUAUAGAUGGAUCCGCGCCGCAUUAGCUAGUUGGUAAGGUAACGGCUUACCAAGGCAACGAUGCGUAGCCGACCUGAGAGGGUGAUCGGCCACACUGGAACUGAGACACGGUCCAGACUCCUACGGGAGGCAGCAGUAGGGAAUCUUCCGCAAUGGGCGAAAGCCUGACGGAGCAACGCCGCGUGAGUGAAGAAGGUCUGCGGAUCGUAAAACUCUGUUAUUAGGGAAGAACAAAUGUGUAAGUAACUAUGCCCGUCUUGACGGUACCUAAUCAGAAAGCCACGGCUAACUACGU
rnacentral:rRNA from 1 species